rnacentral:rRNA from 1 species
GAUGAACGCUGGCGGCGUGCCUAAUACAUGCAAGUCGAGCGAAAAGACGAGGAGCUUGCUCCUUUGACGUUAGCGGCGGACGGGUGAGUAACACGUAGGUCCCCUACCUAUAAGACUGGGAUCACUUCGGGAAACCGGAGAUAAUACCAGAUAAUAUUUCGAACCACAUGGUUCGAUGGAGAAAGAUGGCUUUGCUAUCACUUAUCGAUGCACAUCCGCCGUAUUAGCUAGUUGGUAAGGUAACGGCUUACCAAGGCAACGAUACGUAGCCGAGCUGAGAGGGUGAUCGGCCACACUGGAACUGGGACACGGUCCAGACUCCUGCGGGAGGCAGCAGUAGGGAAUGUUCCGCAAUGGGCGAAAGCCUGACGGAGCAACGCCGCGUGAGUGAUGAAGGUCUUCGGAUCGUAAAACUCUGUUAUUAGGGAAGAACAACCGUGUAAGUAACUGUGCACGGCUUGACGGUACCUAAUCAGAAAGCCACGGCUAACUACGUG